UAUUUGUUUAAAUUAUUUCCUUGGAUCCAAAUACUAAAUACAUUUGAAAACAAAAACACUUAAAACCGUUCAAGUUCUGGAUCACUAUCACUGUGGCCCAAAUUACUAUUUUGAUAAAGGUGCCCCGUCUGAUUGAAACUGAGUAACAGAACAAAAGAAUCAGGUAGAAUUUUGUGGGGGCCUGGAGCAAACCUCCCCAGAAUGAGCCACCCUGGCAUACAGAUUAUUUUGAGUUAAAAACAAAGCCCAGCAAACUCAGGAAGAGGUUUUUUGUUUUUUGGGUUUUUUCCUCCCCCUUACCUGCCUAAGGAGAUUCACAUAGAAAAACCUGCUUCAGAAAGGGAACCUUGGCAUUAUCACCCGAGCACAGACAAUUACAAACUAAGUGUGGCAGCCUGGGAGGAUCCCAGCAGAAAUUUGCUAAAUUCCCCUUUGUGUCCCAUUGUUUCUGGGUGGCCCUGUAAGAAUUUCUUUAUCACAUGUUUGCUCUUGUCUACCUGUGAAUUGCCUAUAUAGGGCAGCAAAAAAUAACUUUCAUCUUUCUAAAUUCUUCUGCCUAGGCUAAUAAUCCAAUUAACAGAGACAAAUUAACAGGAGAAGAUAUCCAAAAGUUAUUAUAGAUGUACAAAAUGUCCAAAAUUUGGGGGGAAGUCAAAGGUUUUUCCUGAGUCUUUUGUUUCUCAAAAACUGUCUUCGAAUCAAUAUCCAAAAAGGCAUGUUUUGAGGUGGCAAAACUUUGCUCCCCUUCCACCCCCUCCCCUUCCUUGACUAAAAUGACACAUACACCUGAUUUGACCUCAUUGACUUUGGAGUAUUUGUGCUUAUGUGAAUUCCCCAUGCACACGUCAUUAAAAUUUGAUUUUCUCCUGUUAAGCUGCCUCAUGUCAUUUGAAUCAUUCAACCAACCAGAACUAAAGGAGGAAGGGGAAAGUUUAACUUUCUCCCCUGUAAACUGGAUUUAAAGUCUUACUAGGAUUUAAAGAUAAUAUAUACAAAUGCUUUACCUUAAAGCACUAUACAAAUGGAAGGAAUUUCAGGAAAUAUUCUUUAAGGAUUAAUGCCAGCGAUUUUCAGCCUUGUUCAUCUCAUGGCACACGUAAACUAAUUACUAAAAUUCUGCGGCACACCAGAAAAUGUAUCUUUUGAAGAUCUGACCCCCAAAAAAUAGAGAGAGGGGAAGGGAGAGAGAGAGAAACAUCAAUGUGAGAGAGAAACAUUGAUUGGUUACCUCCCGUACAUACCCCGACUGGGAUGGAACCCACAGCCUCGGUAUGUGCCCACACUGGGAAUCGAACCUGCAACUUUGGGCAUACAGGAUGAUGCUCCAAUCAACUGAGCCACCUGGCCAGGACAGGUAUCGCAUGUUUUUCUUUUUUAAAUUAUUCUUUAUAGAUUUGUGUUUGUUUAUUUUUUUUAGAGGGGGAGGGAAACAUCGAUCAACUUUCCGUCGCAUGCCCCAACCGGGGACCUGGCCCGCAACCCAGGCGUGUACCAUACGGUGAAUCAAACCGGUGACCUUUCGGUUCGCAGGCCAGUUCUUAACCCACUGAGCCGCACCAGCAGGCCCUCCAGGUUUGUCAACGUGGUUGUCCGACGCGCCCCUUGAGAGAGGUGCCCUAUGGCUGAGAAGUGUCACUCGUGUCCUGGGCCAGCAAGUGAGUUCCUGUGCUCUGCUUCACUCCUAGUUCCCAGAGAGGCUGAAUCGGGACCGCGGAGGUAACAGUGACAAAAAGGCCUCCACAGACUCAGCCUUGCAGCUGUGAGCACCUGCUAGGAGGGAGGCCCAAGGGGUUGGGGAAGUCUAGUAGCUAAAUUUAGUCUGAAGGCCACAGCUUAAUUGGGUGGGUGAUUACCCUGGGGAAGCUGGGACAGGGAGGGGAGGAGAGUUCUGACCCAGCUGGACUGAGACCUAGGUACACUGACUGACACAGACCCACAGUCCCCUUACAAACACUCAGAAACGAGGAGCCCUCAGCAGUCUGCUGGCCUUCUGCAUGCUUCUCCUGGGCAUAUCAAGGUCAUUCCUAUGGCCACCCCACCCCCACCUCAGAUCUCAGGGUGCACUUCCUGGGUCCUUCCCUAAUUUCCCCCAUUGCACCAGAACUUGGGCCCCUCCACAUCUCCCUGGCCUUGGGUUGCAGCUUCCUCUCUCUCAAGUCCUUCCAGGGCUUCAGAGGUCAACAACGGAGGUGUCUGGCCACACUAAUCCCCUCUAUGGAGCCAGGAAAAGGGGUUGCUUGGGGUCAGGUUUCCCUUCCUGAAACCUUCAGCACUGACCCCAUACUGACCUCGGUGUCCAGAGGAAAGAAUCCUUAGGAACCUUACAGACUCUUAGCUUUAAAAUAAGAAGGGGAAGGGGGCAACCCCAGAUGAAAGCCCACUCCUGAGAAAUCAGGGACUGGAGACCGGAAGGGAGCUGCUCAAGGGAGGUGCUAAAGCUGGGGGGAGCUUUCAUAGGGGCCGUGUUUGCAUUUCUCACCUGUGAUUGGUUCUCCAAAUGAUUGGUACACCAAGCUCCAAACCUGCCCAGCAACAGCCUUGAGAGGCCCUACCAGGGAGGGGGAACUUCGGGGAAGUCAGCUGAGCCAGGGCCACUGCCCAGCCCUGGCUUCCAGGAAUCGCUGGGAGGGCCCCAGCUACUCAGCACCACCCCUUCCUUCUCUAAGGAUUCUGCCUUUAGCUCUCGAUAUGCACUGGGCUUGCUCACUUCUCUGGUCCCCCACAUCUGAUUCCCUUAUAGGUUCACCAGAGAUAAGGACGUGUCUCUUUAGUUUUGCAGUUUAGGCUGAGCAGGGCCACCCAGACUGGGGUUUCCUCCUCCUCACUCACUCCUUGCCCUGGGUUAAAGUCCUUUUUAUUUUCCUUUUCCUCCAUUCCCUUUGGCCUCCUCCCUCACCCAUUCUCAAGGUACAGGCCAAAGUCUUCCUUCUCGGCCACUUCCAGCCCAGAUAGGGCCUAAGUCCCAAGGUAGAGGUCUGACUAGACAAGUCCUUGCCCAUCACAAGGUCCGGGUAUACACAGGACACAGAGCACAACCAGCCACUGAGUUCAGCUGUUUCUGCAGGUCUUUAUGGAGGCUCUUCUUCAGCCAGACUUGACGAGGUGCAGUGACGGGUAGAUGGGUGGAGAGGGAAGUUUCCAAUGGGGAGAGGAGUCUGAUUCUGUAGCAACGACCCCUUCCUAGGCACAGGGACCCCUGGGAAGCCUGUCUUCCAGAAGUGGAGAGACCUGGACUCAGCUCUCAGAUUGGUCAAGGUCAGGGAGAGAAUGUGUGUUAUGGAAAAGGCUGCCUGCUCUCCCACCACCUCUAGCAAGCUAUUUACCUUGAGAUAAAAUGAGCCGGCCCGGAGGCAGGAGGGAGGAGACCAGGGUGAGACAACUAGAAGGAAUGUGUGUUUGGCAGGACAUCCAGUCCUGCCUAGAGCUGGGCCAGGCUCCACCUCCUCCAGGAGGGAAGGGGUGGGAGCGGAAAUCACUUCCCCCACCCUAUGACAAGCAGUAAACCAACAGCUUAAUAGGGAAAUGGGCAGUAACAGCAGAAAGGAUAGGGGAGGCAGGAAAGCAAGGCCAAAGAAAGAGAACAGGAAAAAAGACACUUGAAAAGCCAGCUGCUGUUUCAGCUCCGUCCCCAACUGAAAGAAGUGCUACUAAGUUCCAGAAGACUUUACAGAAACACCCAGCCUGCUAUCAAACCCACCACAGAGCAGGCAGUUUUUUUCUCAGCUCUGGACCCAAGCUCCCAGCUCCAUAGCUAAACUGGGAGAAGUGGUGACCCCUAGUGGUCAGUGACCAACCUGCAGGCCCGUGGCCCAGGAUCCUCUUCGCCUGACCCAGGCUUCUGAUCUCUUGUGACUGGGGCUCACACAUUAGCCUUUCUGGGCCUAGAUUCUCUCCACCUGGGCUUGCUCCGCCUGCUGUUUCCCCUUCCCACCCUUCAUUCUGACCGCACACUGCUUACGUAGGUGGCUCGUAUAGCUGAGUUCCCAUGAGCAAAAUAAAGAGCCUGUUUCUUAUUUGUCAUAAUCAUCUUUAAUAAAAAAUAAAUUAGU